rnacentral:rRNA from 1 species
UACGUAGGGGGCAAGCGUUGUCCGGAUUUAUUGGGCGUAAAGAGCGUGUAGGCGGUCAGGUAGGUCGGUUGUGAAAACUGGAGGCUCAACCUUCAGAGGUCGACAGAAACCCCCUGGCUAGAGUCCGGGAGAGGAGAGUGGAAUUCCUGGUGUAGCGGUGAAAUGCGCAGAUAUCAGGAAGAACACCCGUGGCGAAAGCGGCUCUCUGGAACGGUACUGACGCUGAGACGCGAAAGCGUGGGGAGCGAACAGG